GAUCAUGGCUCAGGAUGAACGCUGGCGGCGUGCUUAACACAUGCAAGUCGAACGAAGCACUUUAUUUGAUUUCCUUCGGGACUGAUUAUUUUGUGACUGAGUGGCGGACGGGUGAGUAACGCGUGGGUAACCUGCCUUGUACAGGGGGAUAACAGUUGGAAACGGCUGCUAAUACCGCAUAAGCGCACAGCAUCGCAUGAUGCAGUGUGAAAAACUCCGGUGGUAUAAGAUCGG
rnacentral:rRNA from 1 species